GAUGAACGCUAGCUACAGGCUUAACACAUGCAAGUCGAGGGGAAACGAUAGAGAAAGCUUGCUUUUUCUAGGCGUCGACCGGCGCACGGGUGAGUAACGCGUAUCCAACCUGCCCAUCACUUGGGGAUAACCUUGCGAAAGUAAGACUAAUACCCAAUGAUAUCUCUAGAAGACAUCUGAAGGAGAUUAAAGAUUCAUCGGUGAUGGAUGGGGAUGCGUCUGAUUAGCUUGUUGGCGGGGUAACGGCUCACCAAGGCGACGAUCAGUAGGGGUUCUGAGAGGAAGGUCCCCCACAUUGGAACUGAGACACGGUCCAAACUCCUACGGGAGGCAGCAGUGAGGAAUAUUGGUCAAUGGACGAGAGUCUGAACCAGCCAAGUAGCGUGCAGGAUGACGGCCCUAUGGGUUGUAAACUGCUUUUAUAAGGGAAUAAAGUGAGUCUCGUGAGACUUUUUGCAUGUACCUUAUGAAUAAGGACCGGCUAAUUCCGUGCCAGCAGCCGCGGUAA
rnacentral:rRNA from 1 species